UACGUAGGUGGCAAGCGUUGUCCGGAUUUAUUGGGUUUAAAGGGUGCGUAGGCGGCCCUGUAAGUCAGUGCUGAAAUAUCCCAGCUUAACUGGGAGGGUGGCAUUGAUACUGCGGGGCUAGAGUACAGAUGAGGUAGGCGGAAUUGACGGUGUAGCGGUGAAAUGCUUAGAUAUCGUCAAGAACACCUAUAGCGAAAGGCAGCUUACUAGGCUGUAACUGACGCUGAGGCACGAAAGUGUGGGGAUCAAACGGG
rnacentral:rRNA from 1 species